rnacentral:rRNA from 1 species
AGCCUACGGGACGCAGCAGUGGGGAAUAUUGCACAAUGGGGGAAACCCUGAUGCAGCGACGCCGCGUGAGUGAAGAAGUAUUUCGGUAUGUAAAGCUCUAUCAGCAGGAACGAGACAAGACGGUACCUGACUAAGAAGCCCCGGCUAACUACGCGCCAGCAGCCGCGGUAAUACGUAGGGGGCAAGCGUUAUCCGGAAUCACUGUGUGUAAAGGGAGCGUAGACGGCUGAGCAAGCCUGAAGUGAAAGGCCGGGGCCCAACCCCCGGACUGCUUUGGGAACUGUACGGCUCGAGUGGAGGAGAGG